UAUACCCCACUCCCUCUAGCAUGUAAACUCACUGAGCAGGGCCCUCAAUCCCUCUGUUACUGUGUCACUAUACCCCACUCCCUCUAGCAUGUAAACUCACUGAGCAGGGCCCUCAAUCCCUCUGUUACUGUGUCACUAUACCUCACUCCCUCUAACAUGUAAACUCACUGAGCAGGGCCCUCAAUCCCUCUGUUACUGUGUCACUAUACCCCAC